rnacentral:tRNA from 1 species
UGGCUCUAUGGUUAAGAGCAUUGGCUGUUCUUCCAAAGGGCCUGGGUUCAAUUCCCAG